rnacentral:misc_RNA from 1 species
AUUGGAACUUUUCUUAUUCUUGGAGGAGUUUCCUCCAUUAUUUUGCCAUGGUUUACGGGAUAUUAUCCCUUGUUGGUUUAUUCAAUAACACAAGGGCUGUUCCCCGGUUCUUUCUUUAUGUUCAUUCCCCUUUUAUUACUGGAAAUAGUUCCCCUAGAAAAUCUUCCGCAGGCUCAAGGACUUUUGAAUCUUUGUCUAUCGUUACCCGUUGGCAUUUCACAACCACUUCCAGGGUGGAUCAGGGACGUGACGGGGGCUGGACGGUAUCGUUCCGCGUGUCCGGGGGCGGGGCUUUGUUGGCGGGACUGUUGUUUUUUGUGGAACCAGCAUUUCGUACAAAAUGUCAGAGAAAACGCAAUACAUCUCGGUGACAGAGUAGAUAGAUAAUGUUGUAGACAUAGUCAUCUAUAGUCUUGUAUAUUAUUUUUUUUUACGGUUUUGAUACCUGUAUUUCUUUUUUUGACAAAGAUGUACAUGUAAUAUUGUUUUUUAUUUUUUACCAUAAGAGUGAAUAUAAUUUAUGCAUUUUUCUUUUUCAUUUAAUUUCUCUCCAAAAAAUUGUAUAUAAACCUCUGAGAUAUAUAUGUGUACUGAAUUUCAUGUUCACACCAAAUAUAUGUACAUUUGGUUUAAGUUGUUUUUUUAAUCUACACUCUUGACUUCAUGACAUCAAAGCCAAUAGGGAUCAUUUACUUUUCAUGAGUACUGAUGAAAUUGGUUUCAUGUCUGCAAGGCGCAAGUUACUCUAGACAUGAAUCUAAAAUGCCCAACACUUGGUAUACCAACUGACAAACAGGUGCAAAGGAGUGUCUUGGGCAUGGUUGUUAUUCUAGCAUUCUUUUGUUUAAUGUUUGUUUUUAAAACGUUGAGAUUAUAAUCAUGAAGUAUCUAUUUGAAACGCCAAUUUGUUUUAUUGGUCUCUUAUAUUGUAUUAUUUUUAAUAAUUUUUUGAAUUUGAACUAUUUAUAUGAAAUUGUAUUAUUGAGUCUGAAGGUAAAACGAAGGACCACGAAUUUAACCGCUUUAUUCAGGUAAAUUCAACCGUUGUCGAUGAUUUCUUUUCCUGUGUUUAAAAUUCAGCACCUAAUCGUAAAGAGGAAAAAAAGGUUAAAAUUAAACUUCUGAAUACCAAGCAGUCAUCUUAAUAAACGACAACAGAACUUACUAUUACACUUCAAUGCAUUAAGAUGUCAUUUGCGUGCAUGUUGCCGAUGAGAGCUAUCAAAUAUACGCAGUGCUUGUUUAAAUUUAUUUCAAAUCAUUAUAAUACCAUGUUAAUACAAAACAUGAGUUGUCGUAACAGCUAUGAUAAGAGGUCAAUAGCGAAGAAUACUAAGAAUUUAACAAGUAAAUGUUAUUCUUGUUUACGAACUUCUUUGACGCCAAUCUUAAAACUAUCAAUCACAUCACAACGUACCUGAUGCUUCACACAAGACUUGAUAUGUAGUCUUGCAGCUAAUAUCGUCCCAGGAUCCUUUUCCAUAGUUAUUAUAGGCACAGUUUUGUUUCCCACCGGAAUUAUCGGGUUGUCCACCGUGCCAUCUUGUGUACUCACUUUUCCCAGUUGAUAAUGUUACCCAUUUCCCCUCCGUACCAAUGUCAGUAAAAUCAAUCCAGUAUGCAACUGUUUGUAAACACUCAUUAAUGAAAUUUGAGAUUGU